rnacentral:rRNA from 1 species
AACGAACGCUGGCGGCAGGCUUAACACAUGCAAGUCGAGCGCCCCGCAAGGGGAGCGGCAGACGGGUGAGUAACGCGUGGGAACGUACCCUUUGCUACGGAAUAGCUCCGGGAAACUGGAAUUAAUACCGUAUGUGCCCUACGGGGGAAAGAUUUAUCGGCAAAGGAUCGGCCCGCGUUGGAUUAGCUAGUUGGUGGGGUAAUGGCCUACCAAGGCGACGAUCCAUAGCUGGUCUGAGAGGAUGAUCAGCCACAUUGGGACUGAGACACGGCCCAAACUCCUACGGGAGGCAGCAGUGGGGAAUAUUGGUCAAUGGGCGCAAGCCUGAUCCAGCCAUGCCGCGUGAGUGAUGAAGGCCUUAGGGUUGUAAAGCUCUUUCACCGGAGAAGAUAAUGACGGUAUCCGGAGAAGGAGCCCCGGCUAACUUCGUGCCAGCCGCCGCCGUAAUAC